rnacentral:rRNA from 1 species
GAUGAACGCUGGCGGCGUGCCUAACACAUGCAAGUCGAGCGGCAGCGCGAGUAGUUUACUACUUGGCGGCGAGCGGCGGACGGCUGAGUAACGCGUGGGAACGUGCCCCAAAGUGAGGGAUAACUUCGAGAAAUCGGAGCUAAUACCGCAUAGUAUCUUCGGAUUAAAGAAUUUAUUCGCUUUGGGAGCGGCCCGCGUCGGAUUAGGUAGUUGGUGAGGUAAAGGCUCACCAAGCCGACGAUCCGUAGCUGGUCUGAGAGGAUGACCAGCCAGACUGGAACUGAGACACGGUCCAGACUCCUACGGGAGGCAGCAGUGAGGAAUCUUCCACAAUGGGCGAAAGCCUGAUGGAGCAACGCCGCGUGCAGGAUGAAGGCCUUCGGGUUGUAAACCUCUUUUGUAUGGGAAGAAAAAAAUGACGGUACCAUACGAAUAAGGACCUGCAAACUACGUGCCAGCCGCCGCGGUAA